GACGAACGCUGGCGGCGUGCUUAACACAUGCAAGUCGAACGGAACGUCCCUGCUUGCAGGGUACUCGAGUGGCGAACGGUUGAGUCACACGUUGGUGAUCUGCCCUGCACUUCGGGAUAAGCCUGGGAAACUGGGUCUAAUACCGGAUAGGAGCCAUUUUGAGUGUGGUGGUUGGAACGUUUUUUCGGUGUAGGAUGAGCUCGCGGCCUAUCAGCUUGUUGGUGGGGUAAUGGCCUACCAAGGCGGCGACGGGUAGCCGGCCUUGGAGGGUGGACGGCAACAGUGAGACUGGGAUACGGCCCAGACUCCGACGGGAGGCAGCAGUAGGGGAGAGUGCACAAUGGGCGCAAGCCUGAUGCAGCGACGCCGCGGGGGGGAUGACGGCCUACGGGUUGUAAUCGCCAUUCGCUAGGGACGAAGCUUUUUGUGACGGUACCUAGAUAAGAAGCACCGGCUAACUACGUG
rnacentral:rRNA from 1 species